rnacentral:rRNA from 1 species
GACGAACGCUGGCGGCGUGCUUAACACAUGCAAGUCGAACGGAAAGGCCCUGCUUUUGUGGGGUGCUCGAGGGGCGAACGGGUGAGUAACACGUGAGUAACCUGCCCUUGACUUUGGGAUAACUUCAGGAAACUGGGGCUAAUACCGGAUAGGAGCUCCUGCUGCAUGGUGGGGGUUGGAAAGUUUCGGCGGUUGGGGAUGGACUCGCGGCUUAUCAGCUUGGUGGUGGGGUAGUGGCUUACCAAGGCUUUGACGGGUAGCCGACCUGGGAGGGGGACCGGCCACAUUGGGACUGAGAGACGGCCCAGACGGCUACGGGAGGCAGCAGGGGGGAAUAUUGCACAAAGGGCGGAAGCCUGAUGCAGCAACGCCGCGUGCGGGAUGACGGCCUUCGGGUUAUAAACCGCUUUCGCCUGUGACGAAGCGUUAGUGACGGUAAUGGGUAAAGAAGCACCGGCUAACUACGUG